GAGUUUGAUCCUGGCUCAGAGUGAACGCUGGCGGCAGGCCUAAUACAUGCAAGUCGAACGGCAGCACAGCAGAGCUUGCUCUGUGGGUGGCGAGUGGCGGACGGGUGAGGAAUACGUGGGAAUCUGCCCAGUCGUGGGGAUAACGUAGGGAAACUUACGCUAAUACCGCAUGCGCCCUUCGGGGGAAAGCCGGGGACCUCCGGGCCUGGCGCGAUUGGAUGAGCCCACGUCGGAUUAGCUAGUUGGCGGGUAAAGGCCCACCAAGGCGACGAUCCGUAGCUGGUCUGAGAGGAUGAUCAGCCACACUGGAACUGAGACACGGUCCAGACUCCUACGGGAGGCAGCAGUAGGGAAUAUUGGACAAUGGGCGCAAGCCUGAUCCAGCCAUGCCGCGUGAGUGAAGAAGGCCCUCGGGUUGUAAAGCUCUUUUGUCCGGAAAGAAAAGCGCCGGGUUAAUACCCUGGUGUCCUGACGGUACCGGAAGAAUAAGCACCGGCUAACUUCGUG
rnacentral:rRNA from 1 species